GCAGAUGUGGCGGAAUUGGUAGACGCGCUAGCUUCAGGUGCUAGUGUCCGAUAGGACGUGGGAGUUCGAGUCUCCCCAUCUGCA
rnacentral:tRNA from 1 species